UACGUAGGGUCCGAGCGUUGUCCGGAAUUACUGGGCGUAAAGAGCUCGUAGGUGGUUUGUCGCGUUGUCCGUGAAAACUCACAGCUCAACUGUGGGCGUGCGGGCGAUACGGGCAGACUGGAGUACUGCAGGGGAGACUGGAAUUCCUGGUGUAGCGGUGGAAUGCGCAGAUAUUGGGAAGAACACCGGUGGCGAAGGCGGCGCUCUGGACCGAGACUGACGCUGAGGCGCGAAAGCGUGGGGAGCAAACAGG
rnacentral:rRNA from 1 species